AGCGAACGCUGGCGGCAGGCUUAACACAUGCAAGUCGAACGGGCUUCUUCGGAAGUCAGUGGCAGACGGGUGAGUAACACGUGGGAACGUGCCCUUCGGUUCGGAAUAACUCAGGGAAACUUGAGCUAAUACCGGAUACGCCCUUUUGGGGAAAGGUUUACUGCCGAAGGAUCGGCCCGCGUCUGAUUAGCUUGUUGGUGGGGUAACGGCCUACCAAGGCGACGAUCAGUAGCUGGUCUGAGAGGAUGAUCAGCCACACUGGGACUGAGACACGGCCCAGACUCCUAUGGGAGGCAGCAGUGGGGAAUAUUGGACAAUGGGCGCAAGCCUGAUCCAGCCAUGCCGCGUGAGUGAUGAAGGCCUUAGGGUUGUAAAGCUCUUUUGUCCGGGACGAUAAUGACGGUACCGGAAGAAUAAGCCCCGGCUAACUUCGUG
rnacentral:rRNA from 1 species